GCCAGGUAUGAUAGCACAUGCCUGUGGUCUCAGCUACAUGGGAGGCUGAGGCGGGAGGAUCACUUCAGCCCAGGAGUUCUGGACGAUAGUUCACUAUGCCAACUGGGUAUUCACACUAGGUUCGACGUCAGUAUGGUGACCUUCUGGGAGCAGGGAAACUCCGGGUUGCCCAAGAAAGGGCGAAUCGGUUCAGGUCAGAAACAGAACAGCCAAAGCUCCCAUGCUGCUCAGCAAUGGCAUUCUGCCUGUGAAUAGCCACUGCACUCCGCCUGGACAACACAGCAAGACCUCGCCUCU
rnacentral:SRP_RNA from 10 species